AUCGGAAUUAACCAGACAAAUCGCUCCACCAACUAAGAACGGCCAUGCACCACCACCCACCGAAUCAAGAAAGAGCUAUCAAUCUGUCAAUCCUUCCGGUGUCCGGGCCUGGUGAGGUUUCCCGUGUUGAGUCAAAUUAAGCCGCAGGCUCCACUCCUGGUGGUGCCCUUCCGUCAAUUCCUUUAAGUUUCAGCUUUGCAACCAUACUUCCCCCGGAACCCAAAAGCUUUGGUUUCCCGGAGGCUGCCCGCCGAGUCAUCGGAGGAACUGCGGCGGAUCGCUGGCUGGCAUCGUUUAUGGUUAGAACUAGGGCGGUAUCUGAUCGCCUUCGAACCUCUAACUUUCGUUCUUGAUUAAUGAAAACAUACUUGGCAAAUGCUUUCGCUUCUGUUCGUCUUGCGACGAUCCAAGAAUUUCACCUCUAACGUCGCAAUACGAAUGCCCCCGCCUGUCCCUAUUAAUCAUUACCUCGGGUUCCGAAAACCAACAAAAUAGAA